rnacentral:rRNA from 1 species
GAUGAACGCUGGCGGCGUGCCUAAUACAUGCAAGUCGAGCGAACAGACGAGGAGCUUGCUCCUCUGACGUUAGCGGCGGACGGGUGAGUAACACGUGGAUAACCUACCUAUAAGACUGGGAUAACUUCGGGAAACCGGAGCUAAUACCGGAUAAUAUAUUGAACCGUAUGGUUCAAUAGUGAAAGACGGUUUUGCUGUCACUUAUAGAUGGAUCCGCGCCGCAUUAGCUAGUUGGUAAGGUAACGGCUUACCAAGGCGACGAUGCGUAGCCGACCUGAGAGGGUGAUCGGCCACACUGGAACUGAGACACGGUCCAGACUCCUACGGGAGGCAGCAGUAGGGAAUCUUCCGCAAUGGGCGAAAGCCUGACGGAGCAACGCCGCGUGAGUGAUGAAGGUCUUCGGAUCGUAAAACUCUGUUAUUAGGGAAGAACAAAUGUGUAAGUAACUAUGCACGUCUUGACGGUACCUAAUCAGAAAGCCACGGCUAACUACGUG